GAGGUCAGUAAGGGGCUUUGCUAGGGCACUAUAAUUGGGCACAAAUUUACGGUAAUAACCGGCGGCCCCUAAAAAAGCUAAAACCUGGGUUUUCGUGCGAGGGGUCGGCUACUUAGCUACGGCUUCUAUCUUAGCAGGUUCUGGUUUUGCUGCCCACUGCCUACCCUGUGGCCCAAGUACUGCACUUCAGCCAUCCCUACAUGGCACUUGCUGGGUUUUAACGUGAG